rnacentral:rRNA from 1 species
CAGAGGGCGCGAGCGUUGUCCGGAAUCACUGGGCGUAAAGGGCGCGUAGGUGGCGGCAUAAGGCCGCGGUGAAAGUUCGGGGCUCAACCCUGAAUCGGCCGCGGCGACUGUGUCGCUUGGGCACUGUAGAGGCAGACGGAAUUCCGGGUGUAGCGGUGGAAUGCGUAGAGAUCCGGAAGAACACCGGUGGCGAAGGCGGUCUGCUGGGCAGUGGAGUCGCAAGACUCUGUAGCCGACACUGAGGCGCGACAGCGUGGGGAGCAAACAGGAUUAGAUACCCUGGUAGUCCACGCCGUAAACGAUGGGCACUAGGUGCUCCGGGGAGCGACCCUUGGAGUACCGGCGCUAACGCAUGAAGUGCCCCGCCUGGGGAGUACGGCCGCAAGGCUG